rnacentral:ncRNA from 1 species
ACAUUCUUAGAAUAUCCGUCCUAGUGUCGUAAGACAGGGUUAAACAACGAGCAUCUGUGAUAGAUGCACUUGAUAAAGACUAGACCUAAGCAAGUUUGAGUUGCAAG